rnacentral:pre_miRNA from 1 species
AUUAUACUCCCUCCAUCCCAAAAUUCUUGUCUUAGAUUCGUAUAGAUACGGAUGUAUCUAAUACUAAAACAUGACUUGAUACAUCCGUAUUUAGACAAAUUUAAGACAAGAAUUUUGGGACGGAGGGAGUAAAUC